rnacentral:rRNA from 1 species
CGGCCUAUCAGCUUGUUGGUGGGGUAAUGGCUCACCAAGGCGACGACGGGUAGCCGGCCUGAGAGGGUGACCGGCCACACUGGGACUGAGACACGGCCCAGACUCCUACGGGAGGCAGCAGUGGGGAAUAUUGCACAAUGGGCGRAAGCCUGAUGCASCSACSCCSCGUGAGGGAUGACGGCCUUCGGGUUGUAAACCUCUUUCA